GGCCUAUUGAUAAUAAUUUUAGGUCUGACCUGCCCAAUGAUUAAAAUUGAAUGGCCGCGGUAAUUUGACUGUGCAAAGGUAGCAUAAUCAUUAGUUUUUUAAUUGGAAGCUUGUAUGAAAGGUUUGAUGAGAAAGAAGCUGUCUCUAUUUAAAUUAAAUAGAAUUUAAUUUUUAAGUAAAAAAGCUUAAAUAUUUAUAGAAGACGAGAAGACCCUAUAGAGUUUAAUAAUAAAUUAUAUAUAGAGAGUUAAGAAUUUUAAAUUUAUUUAUAGUUUUAUAUUUAGUUGGGGUGAUAGAAAAAUUUAAUAAACUUUUUUUUGUAUAUAAACAUAAAUUAAUGAUUAGUUGAUCCUUAAAUAAAGAUUAAAAGAUAAAAUUACCUUAGGGAUAACAGCGUAAUUUUUUUUUAGAGUUCAAAUUAAAAAAAAAGAUUGCGACCUCGAUGUUGGAUUAAAAAUAAAUAUUGGUGUAGAAGCUAAUAGUUUAGGUCUGUUCGACCUAUAAAAUUUUACAUGAUCUGAGUUUAAACCGGUGUGAGCCAGGUCGKU
rnacentral:rRNA from 1 species